rnacentral:rRNA from 1 species
GAUGAACGCUGGCGGCGUGCCUAAUACAUGCAAGUCGAGCGAAUGGAUUGAGAGCUUGCUCUUAUGAAGUUAGCGGCGGACGGGUGAGUAACACGUGAGUAACCUGCCCAUAAGACUGGGAUAACUCCGGGAAACCGGGGCUAAUACCGGAUAACAUUUUGAACCGCAUGGUUCGAAAUUGAAAGGCGGCUUCGGCUGUCACUUAUGGAUGGACCCGCGUCGCAUUAGCUAGUUGGUGAGGUAACGGCUCACCAAGGCAACGAUGCGUAGCCGACCUGAGAGGGUGAUCGGCCACACUGGGACUGAGACACGGCCCAGACUCCUACGGGAGGCAGCAGUAGGGAAUCUUCCGCAAUGGACGAAAGUCUGACGGAGCAACGCCGCGUGAGUGAUGAAGGCUUUCGGGUCGUAAAACUCUGUUGUUAGGGGAGAACAAGUGCUAGUUGAAUGAGCUGGCACCUUGACGGUACCUAACCAGAAAGCCACGGCUAACUACGUGCCAGCCGCCGCUGUAA